AGAGUGAGAAUUUAUCACAGGAAACAGUGAAUCUCUCUCAAGAUGGAAAAGGUUAUCCCAGAUUCACAGAUGUCUCAAAUAUUUACAUAAGUAAAUCUCCCGGCCUAAAGGAUCAAAUGUAUGAAGACAUAGCGAAUGAUGGCACCCCCACGUCUUCCUGUCCUGACUGGAGGUCAGCUGUUAGUUCUACAGCUACUGUUGCAGAGGAGCUGCAAAACAGGUGGCUGCAGCAAAUGUGUAUCGGUAUCAAAGUAUGCCCGAUCAGCAUGGACUACACUGACUGAGACAGCUGUUGCCAAUUCGCUAUCAUCUCCUCCCUCCCUGCUAAACAUGCUAAACAUGUCCCAGAACUAA
rnacentral:lncRNA from 13 species